rnacentral:rRNA from 1 species
AACGAACGCUGGCGGCAUGCCUAACACAUGCAAGUCGAACGAGACCUUCGGGUCUAGUGGCGCACGGGUGCGUAACGCGUGGGAACCUGCCCUUAGGUUCGGAAUAACUCCCCGAAAGGGGUGCUAAUACCGGAUAAUGUCUUCGGACCAAAGAUUUAUCGCCUUUGGAUGGGCCCGCGUUGGAUUAGCUAGUUGGUAGGGUAAAAGCCUACCAAGGCGACGAUCCAUAGCUGGUCUGAGAGGAUGAUCAGCCACACUGGGACUGAGUCACGGCCCAGACUCCUACGGGAGGGAGCAGUGGGGAAUAUUGGACAAUGGGCGAAAGCAUGAUCCAGCAAUGCCGCGUGAGUGAUGAAGGCCUUAGGGUUGUAAAGCUCUUUUACCCGGGAUGAUAAUGACAGUACCGGGAGAAUAAGCUCCGGCUAACUCCGUG